rnacentral:rRNA from 1 species
UACGAAGGGGGCUAGCGUUGUUCGGAAUCACUGGGCUUAAAGGGCGCGUAGGCGGGUCUCAAAGUCCGGGGUGAAAUCCUCCAGCUCAACUGGAGAAGGGCCUUGGAAACUAGAGGUCUCGAGGGAGGUAGGGGUCCGUGGAACUUCGGGUGGAGCGGUGAAAUGCGUUGAUAUCCGAAGGAACGCCGGUGGCGAAAGCGACGGACUGGAUCUCUUCUGACGCUGAGGCGCGAAAGCCAGGGGAGCAAACGGG